UGUUGCCCAUUUUGUUGUUUUCUUCUUUAUUGCCCAUUAUGUCGUUUUCUGUUUUUCUCCUCCAUCAACACCUCUGAAAGUUCCAAAUCUCUCCCCUCCACCACCCUACACAUCAAUGAUCAGACACCAUUCCAAACCCCCUUUCCUGUCUCUUUCCACCAUAGCCACAACCCAAAGUAUCGCCUCCUUCAACCACCACCAGAUGAGCAUCGUAGCCACCACUCUCUCCUCGCCGUGCUGAGUAGACUUUCUUCGCAAGACGCACCUAUAUUCACCUCUCCUCAGCCGCAAGUGUGGCUGCAAAACCGAAUAACGAAUCUGCAACUUCAAGGUCGGAUUUCGGUCGGAGUUGUUACCGAGAAAGCGAAGGUUGAGUUUCUGGAAGCAGCGGCUAGGGUUGAAUAGAGUUUAAAUAAUCGGAGAUGGUGGAGGUGCUGGUUAUGCCGCCUCCGGCGAUGGUGACGGUGGUGUCGCAGGCGAUCGGGACUCCGAAUGCGGUUGUGAUUGGAUAUGGUCAUGUGGCAGAGGAGUUAUCGGUGGUGGCGAAGGAUUAGUGAUGACAGUUUUAUGAUCGAAGGGAUUUUGCAGUCCACCAGAGAAGGUAACACCAAAAAAGUUCACCCAGGUAAGUUUAUAACUUUUGAGUCUGUGAUGAUACCCAACUUCUGGAUUCUGGAUUAUUAAGGUUAUUGUGCUCAAUUCUGGAUUAUUAAGGUUAUUGUGCUCAAUCCCAAACGAACUAAUAUCAUCAAUUGUUUAUGAGAAAUCCAACAUUUAUUGAAGAUAUUUGACCA